AGCGAACGCUGGCGGCAGGCCUAAUACAUGCAAGUCGAACGGCUCUUCGGAGCAGUGGCGGACGGGUGAGUAACGCGUGGGAACGUGCCCUUUGGUUCGGAACAACACAGGGAAACUUGUGCUAAUACCGAAUGUGCCCUUCGGGGGAAAGAUUUAACGCCAUUGGAGCGGCCCGCGUUGGAUUAGGUAGUUGGUGGGGUAAAGGCCUACCAAGCCUACGAUCCAUAGCUGGUCUGAGAGGAUGAUCAGCCACACUGGGACUGAGACACGGCCCAGACUCCUACGGGAGGCAGCAGUAGGGAAUCUUGCGCAAUGGGCGAAAGCCUGACGCAGCCAUGCCGCGUGAAUGAUGAAGGUCUUAGGAUUGUAAAAUUCUUUCACCGGGGAAGAUAAUGACGGUACCCGGAGAAGAAGCCCCGGCUAACUUCGUGCCAGCCGCCGCAGUAAGAC
rnacentral:rRNA from 1 species